CACGUAGGGUGCGAGCGUUGUCCGGAAUUAUUGGGCGUAAAGAGCUCGUAGGCGGUGUGUCGCGUCGGCCGUGAAAACCUGCAGCUUAACUGUGGGCUUGCGGUCGAUACGGGCAUCACUGGAGUUCGGCAGGGGAGACUGGGAUUCCUGGUGUAGCGGUGAAAUGCGCAGAUAUCAGGAGGAACACCGGUGGCGAAGGCGGGUCUCUAGGCAGUAACUGACGCUGAGGAGCGAAAGCGUGGGGAGCGAACAGG
rnacentral:rRNA from 1 species